AAAUUGAAGAGUUUGAUCAUGGCUCAGAUUGAACGCUGGCGGCAGGCCUAACACAUGCAAGUCGAACGGUAGCACAGAGAGCUUGCUCUCGGGUGACGAGUGGCGGACGGGUGAGUAAUGUCUGGGAAACUGCCCGAUGGAGGGGGAUAACUACUGGAAACGGUAGCUAAUACCGCAUAACGUCGCAAGACCAAAGUGGGGGACCUUCGGGCCUCACACCAUCGGAUGUGCCCAGAUGGGAUUAGCUAGUAGGUGGGGUAACGGCUCACCUAGGCGACGAUCCCUAGCUGGUCUGAGAGGAUGACCAGCCACACUGGAACUGAGACACGGUCCAGACUCCUACGGGAGGCAGCAGUGGGGAAUAUUGCACAAUGGGCGCAAGCCUGAUGCAGCC
rnacentral:rRNA from 2 species